CACGCCCUAAACGAUGUCAACUAGUUGUCGGGUCUUAAUUGACUUGGUAACGCAGCUAACGCGUGAAGUUGACCGCCUGGGGAGUACGGCCGCAAGGUUAAAACUCAAAGGAAUUGACGG
rnacentral:rRNA from 1 species